UCUUUGUCUCUCGCUGGCGUUGGCACAGGAACUUGGGAUCCAUCUCCUCUUUCGCCUCCUCCACCUUGGGAGCCCCGGGCUACUCUCUCACAGACCCUGUUGCCCUGUGAUCUGUAGGUCCUUGGGGACCCACAGUUAAGAUACCAGGACAUCCUGGAAGCUGGGAAACGAUUUCUUCCAGACCAUGGCUGGAGAAGUAAAGAAGGUGUGUUUUGCCUGAUUCAGGGACUAUAGAGAGAACCAAGUUCUGCAGGCCUGUCACCUAAGUCUCAGAUAUGUAUUCAUUUCCUACCACCGUAGUGGAAGAGAGACUAUCCCUGUCUUUACACCUGGUAGCAUUUCCAAAAGUAAGCUGUGAGAUUCUGCUUGAAAUCACCUCUCAAACAAAUAAAAAACAGACCUGGGAGACAUGCUACACUCAUUCUGCUGAAGAAAUAGUAUAUUUUGCAGACCCAGGCUGGCUUCUCCUUCUGUUCCUGGUUCACCCAGUGCAGUGUGUGCUCAUUGCAUCCUGUGCACGCGUCACUGUGCUGUGUGCUCCUGCCUAGGUAAGCAUCAUUCUUCGGGGAGAACAUUUCUGAAAACAAAGCUGCAUUCCAAAAAGUUAAAACCAUGCUAGUUACUGUACUGAGGUAAAAAUUAAAAGACCUAGGGGACUCAUCCAAAAGUUAAAACAUAAAUAAAUAACUUGGAACAUUAAUAUACACCUGAUGAUGUCCUGAGUGAACACGCCCCACUUUAAAACAAAACAAAACAUUGCUAUUAUUCUAAAAUAUUAAUUUAGGAUAUUUAUGCAAAUAUGUACUAUUUAAAUAUUUAUUGAUGAAUAACAUGCAUACAGCAAUAUAGGAACAAAAUAUUUAUGGAAUGCUUGAUGAAUUAUUACUAAAUAAAUACACUUGUAUAUGUAAGAAUCAGAUUUGCUCAUGCCCUUGACACUUUCUCCUUCCCAAAGGUAACCAAGACCUUAAGAGCUAAGUGUAGAUAAACUUUGUCAUUUUCUACAAGUGUUUUAUUACAGAACAUUAAAAACGUAUACACAAUACAAAAAAAGGAUAGCAGACCACUCAUCCAGCUUUAACAGCUACUAGUCAUGUGUCAUUUUUGUUUCACCUAUACUUCCAGCCAUUCCCACCCCAAUUUCAUUACUUUUUAGGCUUUUUGGAUAAAAUGUAUAUUCAUUGCAAGGUACAAUGUGAACUGCAAAUAGUAGAGAGAUGUGGUUUCACCAUGUUGGCCAGGCUAGUCUUGAACUCCUGUCCUCAGGUGAUCCAACCGCUUCGGCUUCCCAAAGUACUGGGAUUACAGGCAUGAGCCAAUAUACUCGGCCUGAGAAUUCAUAUUUCUAACAAAGUACAAAUCCAUAGGGCACAUGACAACUGCAAUGUCUAUCUACAGUAAAUGCAGUUUGAUGAAUAAAAUGAAAGGCAAUUGACCUAAGGUGAAAAAAAACCCAAAAAAGUAUCAAAGCAUGGGUACUAUGUGCUAUCUGUAACAGCAUUUGGUUAAGAAUAACAAACAAACCAGUUUUAUCAUUUUAAUAGCCGAAAUUGGCAAAAUUUCUACUUUUUCUUUCAUAAGAAUGCUCUUUGCAAGAAAAAAUUUUCAUACAGUGAGAGCAAAAAUGGCAACCAUUUGCAAGUAAAUGUCUUAUGAAAUUAAGUAGCAGAUAUCAAGCUCAUGACCUUCAGAUAGUUACCCCUAACUCAAUCAUUUACAUAGCAAGUGCAGAUAAUUUUCAUAGCUCCCUAUUAAAAUUAUAUUUGAAUGCCCUUACGAAUUGUGACUGUUUUUAAAUAAAGUUGACCAACUAAAAUUUUGUAUAUGACAUAUGAUAAAUUCCCCUUCAAGUCACCUCACAUUUACUUAAUUUUAUUAGGCAGUGUUUAUCUACCACCCAAUAAUACUUGAGGAUUCUCCCUCCAUUUGCACAGGCAUCAUACCUGGGGAAACAGGGAUUCACAAGACCCAGGCUGUUCCCUACAUAUGUUUCCUCCUCCGACAUCAGUUCAUCAGUCAAUCAAGUCAUGUGAGAGUGGAGGCCAUGUAUUCCCUCUUAUUCUUGGGCACUCUCCUCCAAGGAGGAAAAUGUCAGGAGGUCCUGUUAGAGGAUGCACUCUGAGAGGCCAGGCUCCCUAAGGUGUGAGAGUUCUAACCAGCAGGUGUAGACUUUUCAGGAGUGAGGAAUGAGGCAGGCAAUCCAAACCUGGAGCUUCAUCACUUUUUGUUUCAUCUCAAGACAAUUCUGAGGGGCUCUUUUGGAACGUGUCUGGAAGGUGAACGUUGAAGAAGAGUGUGGGCUUUGAUGUGACUCAGAUGAGAUCUUUCACGGGGAGGAAGGAAUUCAAUGCCCAGAAUCUGGGCUGGUGUCUUUGAGGUCAGUAGGUUGCGUCUUUGUAUCCAAGUCCAUUGUUACUAGGUUGGAGGCUGGAGAUUCUAAAUGGCUUCCAGACCGCCUCUCUGAUUCUCUUUGGGAGAUGGGGUCUCAAAAAGACAAUGUCAGUAUUUUUGGGAAAUUCUAGAAAAUCUGCUUGGAAACGUGGGAAGAGCUCUUGCCUAGUGCCUAAAUGCUCAACGUGCAGCUGUAGCCACGUAGAUGCUUGGUAGGUAUAGAGCUGGGUUUGCAUUUAUAUCAGCAAAACCUAUGUCAGAGUUGAAGAAGUAGUCAGGAAAAAGUGUCUUGGUCGCAGGCCAGGGAACAUCUUAAAAGCAAACUUCUAGCCUGCUGACUCUUGGCAAUGAGUGUUGGAUCCUGGCUAAAGUGCCUUGAAUGCAGCAUGAGGCCAAUCCAUGAAUCCAACUUCUAAUGCAGAAAUGUUAAUAUUUUUUCAGUUUGAAUCAAUCAUGGUGAAACUAUCAUGCUAUUGGUUUGCUUACUUUUUAUUAUUUCAUAUAAAAUCUAAGACAAAAUACAUUAAAUGCUUAUUGACAUAUGUAUUUAUUCUUCAUCUGGCUGAUAAUAUCUGCCUAAUUUUAAACUUUCUUCCAUUUUGUAGGUUUCAACUUAUUUUAUUGUAAGAUACUGUUAAAUCUAAUACAGGCAUUGUCACUUUUACAUAUAAUUUUAUUUUAUUUCAUAUAUUUCCUAUUGGCUUUUUACAUUUAAAUUAUCUACCACUUCAUCAUAUAAAAAGCUUCAAUUAUAUUUAAACAGUAAGUCUUUGGAUUUUUUUGUCUUGUAAUUUCCAUAUUACAUAAUAAUGAGAUAAACGUUAAUGUUUUCAGGGUAUUUUAAAUUUUAGAUAAUUACUCAUUGUAUUCAUGUGAAAUUUGUUUUUACUGCAUGUGUGGGUUGGAGGACUGUUUUCACUUCUGAUUCAUCUUUACUCUUAUCUCAUCAGAGCUCAUACCUCUUGUAGUUGGGGGAUUGCAGUUUAUCAUUCCAAUAAAUGGGGCAAAUUCAAUAAUAACAUAAUACAAAUGAGUUUGAAUGCAGGACAGGUCUUCAAAGCAUACACAACAUGGGCCUACAUAUGUACAACAAUAAUAAUUUAUAAGUUACAGUUUGGAUGGAAAGUAAAAGUACAGAAAAUUUGUUAAAGUAAAUUAAAAUGGAGAUCAUGUCUCAAUAAUCUCUGAGCAGACAAAAUCAGUUAGGUCUCAUAAGUGAUCUCAACCUUGCUUGAUUUGCAAAUACAAACAAAACUUAAAUUAUUUCUUGUAGCUGCAUAUUUAGAAAAGAGAAAUGAAGCUCAACCAGUCAGGAGUAGCCAACAACCUUAUAUAAAUAGAAACUGUCCAACAAGGUAAACAGGCGAACAAAAAACAAUUAAAAAAGUUGUGCUACCACCAAUCAAAUGAUUUCUUUGUUUCUACAUUUUUCAAAUAAAUACUUGCUUCUUACACUGUCAAUGAAGCACUCAAUAUCUUUCCAUCUGAUAUUUUAUAAUUUAUCAAUUUCUCUUACUCAAAUAAACACUUUGCAAUUUCAUUGUCUCUUAAAUUACUUUUUAGCAGAAUAAGCUAGGAAUAAAUAUUACAAAAAUGUGUACGGAAUAUGGAAAAAACAUAGAAAGUUUAUGAAAUAUAUGAAUGUAGACAUAAGCAAAUAGACAAUUUGUAUCAUAUUCUUAGUCAGCAAAACUCAAUAUUAUCAACAUCAAUUGUCCUUAAAGUUAUUUAUAAACUCAAUUUUGUUCCUGUAUUGAUACCAUUAAAUAUUGCAAGUACACGUUACUAUAAAAUAUUAUAUAGAUGAAAACGCAAACAAGAAUAGACAAGAAAACUCUGAAAAAAAAAAAACACUGGCAAGCCCUGUGAAAAAUCUUGAUUGAUUAAAAAGCUCAUAGAUCACUGAAACUAAAAAUUCAGAAAUAAACCAAAGUGCCUAAGAAAGUGUCAUACUGCAUCUUGGCUGCUAUAACAAAAUACCUUAGACUGGGUAAAGGAUAAAUAAGAGAAAUGUAUUUUUCACAGUUAUGGAGGCUGGAAAGUGCAAGAUCAAGGCAGCAGCAAAUUUAGUAUAUUGUGAGAGCCCUGUUCCCCAUAGAUGGUACCAUCUCGCACACGGGACAAGGGCAUUCCCUUCAACUUCCUUUGAAAGAGCACUGAUUCCAUUCAUGAAGAUGAAGAACUCUUGGCUUCACCACUUUCCCAAAGUCCUCACGCCUAAAAUUAUACACAUAGGAAUUUGAAAGGGGACAUAAACAUUCAGGCCAUAGCAAUAAAAACUACAUGGGUGAUGGCAUCAUUUAUACAUGAGGUGUAAAAAUGUGAUGUUCUUAACACAAAGGAAAUAAAUGAUUUAUUCUUCAUGGCAUAUACCAAAAUAAAGGUCCAAUGGAAAUAUUUUUUAUAAAGAUAAAUCUAUAUGGCAAAAAAUUAAGUGUUGCUAAGGUUAACCCUACAGGUUGCAUCAGGAUUUUCAAGGUUUCCAGGGAUGAGCAAGGCCCUGGAGUUUCCUCCUGUGACAUUUUCCUGGAAGUUGCUCAUGCUGUUAUUCCAUUUGAAAGUAGAUAAUAUUGUUUGUUUCUCUUCCAAUAUUUACUAAAUUCAAAAUAAUAUAGGGCUCUUUACGCAUAAUUCUCAAACAAUCAUUCAGUCAGUGGGGCUCUGCUGAGGAAGAGCACAGACACAUCCACACAAGUAUAAUGUUCCUCAAAUAGAGGACUUCUCCUUGUGCUGGAGCCACCUAUGUUGCACUCGAUCAGAGGCUUUCCCAGGCAAGCAUUUCUCUGCAGCCCUACCACAGUCUUAACCCUGAAAAUCCGACUCAGAAGGUGACGGAUGAACACCCACCCUAGCAUUCUAAUCUAAUGGAUCCUCUCUUAACAAUCCCUUUCAGGGAUCUGGGAUCUUUCCUGGAUUCUUCGACCACACACAGCUAGGCUCAAAAAUUUGGACAGAAACUUUGAUCCUCAUUGGCCCUCCUGCCCUGUCCUACCAGCUUCUCUAGAAGUAUGCUUCUCUAAUUGUUCCUGAGAGACUCUAUCUAAGGGUAUCAACCUGUGCCAAUAUAAUUGAUCUCAUAAAGUGAGAAGGGAAAUAGGCAAGAGUCCAGCUAGCCUAGAAGCAGUGUCUAGGGUUCCUUACCUGAUUUAUGUCUCUGAUUUACCUAAAUAUUGACAAAUACAGAUUCACCUCUAGACAGUAGAAAAACAGAAGGAGAAAUCCCAGUUCAUAGAGGAAGAAGAAAAUGCAAUCAAUGCUGUCUAGAGUCCCACUUAAGCUCAGCCACAGGGUACUAAGUCUCUUCAGGGAAAAGCAACUGGUGUCCAUCAUCUGAAAAACUGUGGCCUGGAACCAUGGGCACCGAGAGUGCACACUGCCCACUAGAGUUCCAUGCCUACAUCACGGAGAGAUAGAAUAGUCUCAAAGGAUUCUUAAGAGUAAUGUUGGGACCAAAAGGAGAUGAAUCCACAGCCUCUGCCUUACCGUCUGAUCUAACUAAUAGUAUUUCCAGACCUUUCUGUGGGCUGCGCCAGGGGUUGUUCAGAAAGGAAAAAAGUUGUUAAUGUCCCACCGUUUCCCGUAGCUUCCGAGGUCUGUGUUGUUCACUCCCUAGGUUCCAGGUUGUUUUCCCACUACUUCCACAGAAUCAGUGUGUCUCAUUCCUGUACCUAUAAUUUCAUCUUUAUUCUAGUCGCCCUCUACUUUUUCCUAGACAUUUUAUCUAGUAGAGCCAGGUAAAAUAGAGACAAGAAUAUUUACAUAAAUCUUAGCUGGAACUAAGUUGGAGUCCCAUAACUGCUACUAGGCUGAGAUGCAACUCAGAGGAUACAAAAGCCAGGCUUGCCUAGAAUUGCAGUUAUGGGAAAGAAAGUCACAUUUCACCCAGGAAUUAUUAGCACGAAAUUCCAAGUUUGUGAAAUAGAUUCCUAGAUCCCCCAAACAUUUCAUCCUUAUCUUGGAGGCAAUCAGGAAGAGAUAAUAAACCAUACCUAAUCAACAAAUUAUCUAACCAACAUGUGUGGAAAAGGAGGGAACAUCAUAGAGUUGGCUCGUUUUAGUACAUGUGGUCAAAAAUGCCACGAAGUCAGAGCUCAAUUGGUCUCAAAAGCCUAAAAGAUGGCACAGAUUAGCUUCAAGGGACACAUGGUAUGGAUGGAGUCGGCUUACUGUUAUGCUGAAGAUGUCCAGAGUGGUGACUGAUAUCUCAAGAAGUGGGCCAAAAGUCCACUUCUGGUUAUUCUGCUAGGUAUGGUCCAGGAAUUGUUCAACCACGAGACAAGUAGGUCAACUUUCACCAGCAUCCCCAAAUCUGGCUUGCAGUAUUAGACUCUGCGUUAGACACAGAUUUAGCUUCAAUCUGCAGCUUGAUUGUUGUCACUCUCUAGAAAACAAACCCUUACCGUGGACUUCUAGAGGAGUGAUCCAGUUAGAUCAGCAUCUGAGAUUGUUUCCGGUUUGCAGCCCAAAAGACAUUCAGACAGUCUACAGUUUCCAUUGUAGACAACCAAACAUAUAGAAUAUGUGCAAUUACCCCAAACCCUGAGUUCUGACCUUUGAGAGGAGCAACCACUCAUGUCAGGUUCCGUAUGGCUGGCACAGAUUAAACAGCCACAGCGGCCCAGUGGACAUCAUGAGGUUUCACCUUCCCUGACUCAUCUAUGGACCAGGACCAGUCAUAUAGGAAAUACCCAGUAAAUUGGGGGCCCCACAGGGACAGCAGCUUUGCUUCAGAGGAUAAAAGGAGGCAUAAAAUUUCUACCAGCUGGGGAUGCUCUAGCCCUCUAUGGGUGAAACUGAGUUUGGCAGGGGUUCUGCAGCAAGCUCUUAGCUGACUUUCAAAUCAGUGUAACCAGUAGUGUGUCACUGAGUCCAAAAGCCCAAAGAACACCUCUAGGAGGAGGCUAGUCCUUUACUGGAGGUUCCAAAUGCCAAAAUCAACAUUUUCUUGACCUCAGGAUGAAUUGAUCAAUGCAAAUCUCCCCAAAUAUUUUCACUAAACCUAAAUUGGAAAGUGAGACUCCAGAUUUUUUAACCCUCACUAAAAAUAAAUAUCUGAUUUUUUCAACUGGGAUCUAUGUAUGUGUCUUGGAGCAUGCCUUUACCAAUCAGCAUAAAGUUACAACUCUCCUUGCGCCUCUACUUUCUACUUGUGCAGAGUUUAAAAUGCAGAGGUGAGAGCUUAGGGUUUUCUGGGUCUUUUGCUAAGCAUGUACCUGACCCUGAGCAUCCCCAUUUCCCCAUUUCAUUCUUGACCCCGAAGACCAUUAUCACAGUCCUAAUUCCCAGCAGCUUUUCCUCCUAGAGCAUUUUGGCACGAUUCUUCUUAGACCCAACUGAUAUCCCUUGUUCCUCGUAGACUGCGUAGUUCAUUUCCAUUUAAAUGCUUGUACAAACAUUAAGCCAUUGAUUUAAG